rnacentral:lncRNA from 1 species
CUGGCCCAUGGUUGCAGACCUCUGUGCCAGCCUCCCCUAGACAAGAGCGCCGUGUCGAGGAGAAGAAAUCGGCUCAAGCUCUGGGCCCAUGAUGCCUGCUCCUUCCAAAGACUGUGGCAGAUUACGCCAACUGGGAUCCGGCGGUCGCAAGGUCUAGAGGAGUCAAGAAAGCCAUCACCAACGUCGUUCAGCAGGAAGUAAAAUCCCUUUGUGUCUUGGAAGCCUCCCAGGUUCCUGCAGAAGAAGCUGUUUCUGGAGCUAGUGAGCCCUAUGACAUCAUCGACAGCAGU